GCGUUGCACAAAAUGACGGGGUAUUGCCUUUAUUCCUUGCUCAUCACCCGCGGGGUUCUCAUGAUCGUGCGGCCUAUUUGGUUCUUGAGCUGCACUAAGUUCUACCAACGUGACCAACACCGCCACCAGAAGGAAAACUGUCAGUUUCGUAAUAACGGUCAUUUUUAAUUUUGACG